rnacentral:rRNA from 1 species
GUACGCUGGCGGCACGCCUAACACAUGCAAGUCGAACGAAGUAGCAAUAUUUAGUGGCAGACGGGUGAGUAACAUGUGGGUAUCUGCCCUUUGGCCUGGAAUAACACGAGGAAACUUGUGCUAAUACCGGAUAAGUCUUUACGGAGAAAGCUUUAUGCACCAUUGGAUGAGCCCGCACUUGAUUAGUUUGUUGGUGGGGUAAUGGCCUACCAAGACUGUGAUCAAUAGCUGAUUUGAGAGGAUGAUCAGCCACAUUGGGACUGAGACACGGCCCAAACUCCUACGGGAGGCAGCAGUGGGGAAUCUUGCACAAUGGAGGAAACUCUGAUGCAGCGAUGCCGCGUGAGUGAAGAAGGCCCUUGGGUUGUAAAGCUCUUUCGUCGGGGAAGAAAAUGACUGUACCCGAAUAAGAAGGUCCGGCUA